AGUUUUAUAGUUUAUUUUGAAUAUUAAAUUGCAAAUUUAAUGGUAUAUAUUUGUUUAUGUUAAAGCUU
rnacentral:tRNA from 1 species